GGGCAGGACUGUUUUGGGGUUCCAUAGGGUUGUUUUGGGACCGGCUUCUGUUCAAUAUCUUCAUCAACGAUUUAGAUGUGGCGGCCAUAGAAAGUACGCUUUAUUAGUUUGCAGCGAUUACCAACUGGGAGGAUUGCAACUGCUUUGGAGGACAGGAGUCAAAUUCAAAAUGA